rnacentral:rRNA from 1 species
GACGAACCGUGCGAACGUUGUUCGGAAUCACUGGGCUUAAAGGGCGCGUAGGCGGGCCUUCAAGUCCGGGGUGAAAGCCUCCAGCCUAACUGGAGAAGAGCCUCGGAGACUGAGGGCCUCGAGGGAGGUAGGGGCAAGCGGAACUAUGGGUGGAGCGGUGAAAUGCAUUGAUAUCCAUAGGAACUCCGGUGGCGAAGGCGGCUUGCUGGACCGGCAUUGACGCUGAGGUGCGAAAGCGUGGGGAGCAAACAGG